UGCUGCUCUUCUUUUAAUUCCUUGCAGUUAGGAUACAUAAAUUGAAAUGAGGAAAUCAAUAGCAGGAUCUGACUUCUUCUUCUACUUUUUUUUUUUCAGUGCUUGUUCUAAUAAGGAGAUCUGUUCCAAAGCUGGAAGCUGGCUCCUGUCUUUGAGAUGCUGUGCAGUGUUUCUUCCUGUAGGUAGGAAGAUGUAAUUUGACCUAGUCCAGCUGAGGGAAAAAAAAAGCAACGUUCAGUCAGAUGAGCUCUGCUGGCUUUGGCAUGAGGUGGAAAUGGCUGCGAAUAGUCAGGCCCUCACCAUGGCCUUCUAAUGCUUGAAAAUAUUUGAGAUUAGGCAAUGUGGUUUCAUUUGAAAACGUUUACUGGUUUGAAGUACUGUUCCAUUCUUCAAGAGGAAUUAGAAGGUCAGAGAGCUCGACAUACGCUUCUGCACCAAGCUGUUGCAUUGAGAAAGACUUUCCUGUUUGUUGAGGUCAUUUCCUGGUCUGUUUUCAGCUACUGA
rnacentral:lncRNA from 1 species